UAGAAAAUAAUAUAAGGGAAGUAUGGAGGGUUUUGAUCUCUCUAGUGCAGGUUCAAGUCCUGUUUUUCUAA
rnacentral:tRNA from 1 species